CCUACGGGAGGCAGCAGUGGGGAAUAUUGGGCAAUGGAGGAAACUCUGACCCAGCGACGCCGCGUGCGGGAUGAAGGCCUUCGGGUUGUAAACCGCUUUCAGUAGGGAAGAAGCGAAAGUGACGGUACCUACAGAAGAAGCACCGGCUAACUAUGUGCCAGCAGCCGCGGUAAUACAUAGGGUGCAAGCGUUGUCCGGAAUUAUUGGGCGUAAAGAGCUCGUAGGUGGUUCGUCACGUCGGAUGUGAAAAUCUGGGGCUCAACCCCAGACCUGCAUUCGAUACGGGCGAUCUAGAGUGUGGUAGGGGAGACUGGAAUUCCUGGUGUAGCGGUGGAAUGCGCAGAUAUCAGGAGGAACACCAAUGGCGAAGGCAGGUCUCUGGGCCAUUACUGACACUGAGGAGCGAAAGCGUGGGGAGCGAACAGGAUUAGAUACCCUGGUAGUCCACGCCGUAAACGGUGGGCACUAGUUGUGGGAACCUUCCACGGUUUCUGCGACGCAGCUAACGCAUUAAGUGCCCGCCUGGGGAGUACGAUCGCAAGAUUAAAACUCAAAGGAAUUGACGG
rnacentral:rRNA from 1 species